rnacentral:precursor_RNA from 1 species
ACUAUAUUGGUACGCGAAGCUUCCGGGGGCAGGCCGCGCACGGCUCGGGUUCUGGAAAAUUUUGGGAUGAAGGUGUUCGAACC